AAAUAGUGCCAAGGUCAAAUUGCUUGACUGCCAACAUCUGCCCAUGUCAAGACAAAACAUCCCAGGAUACUUUCAUAUUUUGAAAGAGUGAGGCUACCAUCUUAUGACAACAUUUGGAAAUGAUAAAAGGAUAAAGUGAGGACCCCCUGUCUGUUUAUAUUAACACUGUAUAUCCAUAAACAGGAACGAAUCAAUUGAACCCUAUCGAUCUGUCAGAGUAAAACAUUCAUUCUUAGAAAGAUGGUUUGCUAUUAAUCUAUUGACCUAGAGCAAUCAUGACCUAGAGCUUUGAGGCACACAGCCAUGACUUUUUAAUGUGAACAGGAAAACCAUGUAACAGCUUUGAUAUAAAAUAGGCAAGGAUCAAUACUAGAAACAGAUGAAAACUCAGGGCAGCUUUUAGAAAACAUGAAUCUAAUCUCCCAGAAUACUAAAACUGUCAGAAACAGCAGAGAAGGGGUGUUCUACUGCAAUGGAAAUGGUGUCCACCCGCUCAACCUGCUGGUCUGAGGGUGAAACCCAGACAGAGGGGCCACAAACUCCCCAGGCAGGUGCCUAUACACAAACAGACCUCCCAAGGAUAAAAAGAGCUGCUCAGACUCUUAGUUCCAGGCAACUCCAGUCUCUGGAAGUCCCCCGAGUCCUGAAGGCAGAGCUGCGUGUCAUGGGUGCAAGUGUGCCCAGCUGAAUGAACUUCUCAGAAAGGUGGCUCUGUUGCGAGAGGAGCUCAUCAGACUACGUAGCAUCCAAGAAUCUGAGUGGGAGAUUAACAAAUGGUAUUAUGUCCUGACACAGGCCGAGCAACAGCCCUGCAUUAAAUCCUGGCAAGGGGAAGGUAAACAAACUUCCAGCCUUGAACAAACAUAUUUGAAAAUCUCACAGGACGAAGGAAAGUGGACUCUUGUCUUUGCCCAGAGUUGGAGGAGGAGUCCUUGCCCCAAAAGUACCACUGUGCAACAGAUAUGAUGCAAGAGAGAGGAGACUCUCAGAGUAAUAGUAAAGACCUCAGAAAGGCCAACCAUACAAAGUUGGCUCGGUCUCCAACCUAUCUAUAUCAGAACCACUGCCACAAAAAAAAAAAAAAAAAAAAAAAAAAAAAAAAAGGCAUGAAGGGUGUUAGCAAUUGGAGACUCCUCUCUGAGAAGCACUGAGUCCCCCAUUUUCCAUCUGGAUGAUCUCUCCAGAGAGGUUUGCUGCCUGCCUGGGGCCUGCAUUCACAAUAAAGAGGCUACCAAGCCUAGUGGGUCCCAAAGAUUACCACCCCUUCCUACUUUUUCAUGUAGAACCAACAAGAAGACUCUGAAGUAUCAAAAGGGACUUUAUGUCUUUUGGGAAGAUGUUGAAGGCAUCAGGAGAGCAAGAACUGUUCUCUGUCCUCCCGGUUGAUGACUGGGACCCAAGAGGAAGGAGAUGAAUGUACCAAGCAAAUGACUGACUGCAAGGCUGGUGCUAUGCUCAAGGUUUUGGGCUCUACAAUCUUAGAUGCACUUUAGAGAGACCAUGUAUGCCGACACCAGAAGGGGUGCAGCUGACCAGGUGGGACAAGAAUGUUCUGUGCAGUCAGCUGGCUGGAAUUAUCACAUGGGAUUUAUACUAGAUGUGGUGGGGGAAGUGGAUGUACCUCUGAGUGAAGGAAGCAAACCUGGGAACAUCGUCACUCUAAGAAACAAUAGGGAAAUGCUUAUGAAAUGUCCCAAAGUAAUCAGGAAAGGUUGUUCUGGAAAAGCGAUGCAACCAAUAGUUCAGCUGAAGUGCCUUUACACCAACACACAUGGCAUGGGAAACAAGUAGGAGGAGUUGGAAACCAUGGUGCAAUUAGAAAAAUAUGACAAUAAUGCUGUCACAGAAAUGUGGUGGGACGAUCACACAACUAGAACA